UACGUAGGGGGCAAGCGUUAUCCGGAUUUACUGGGUGUAAAGGGAGCGUAGACGGUUAUGUAAGUCUGGAGUGAAAGCCCGGGGCCCAACCCCGGGACUGCUUUGGAAACUGUGUAACUGGAGUACAGGAGGGGCAGGCGGAAUUCCUGGUGUAGCGGUGAAAUGCGUAGAUAUCAUGAAGAACUCCGAUCGCGAAGGCAAGUGUCCGGGGUGCAACUGACGCUGAGGCUCGAAAGUGCGGGUAUCAAACAGG
rnacentral:rRNA from 1 species